rnacentral:rRNA from 1 species
AGCGAACGCUGGCGGCAGGCCUAACACAUGCAAGUCGAACGAACUCUUCGGAGUUAGUGGCGGACGGGUGAGUAACACGUGGGAACGUGCCUUUAGGUUCGGAAUAACUCAGGGAAACUUGUGCUAAUACCGAAUGUGCCCUUCGGGGGAAAGAUUUAUCGCCUUUAGAGCGGCCCGUGUCUGAUUAGCUAGUUGGUGAGGUAAAGGCUAACCAAGGCGACGAUCAGUAGCUGGUCUGAGAGGAUGAUCAGCCACAUUGGGACUGAGACACGGCCCAAACUCCUACGGGAGGCAGCAGUGGGGAAUCUUGCGCAAUGGGCGAAAGCCUGACGCAGCCAUGCCGCGUGAAUGAUGAAGGUCUUAGGAUUGUAAAAUUCUUUCACCGGGGACGAUAAUGACGGUACCCGGAGAAGAAGCCCCGGCUAACUUCGUGCCAGCCGCCGCCGUAA